GACGAACGCUGGCGGCGUGCUUAACACAUGCAAGUCGAACGGAAAGGCCCUGCUUGCAGGGUACUCGAGUGGCGAACGGGUGAGUAACACGUGAGUGAUCUGCCCUGCACUUCGGGAUAAGCCUGGGAAACUGGGUCUAAUACCGGAUAUGACCUUCCAUGUAGUGUGGGGGGUGGAAAGAUUUAUCGGUGUGGGAUGAGCCCGCGGCCUAUCAGCUUGUUGGUGGGGUAAUGGCCUACCAAGGCGUCGACGGGUAGCCGGCCUGAGAGGGUGGACGGCCACAUUGGGACUGAGAUACGGCCCAGACUCCUACGGGAGGCAGCAGUGGGGAAUAUUGCACAAUGGGCGGAAGCCUGAUGCAGCGACGCCGCGUGGGGGAUGACGGCCUUCGGGUUGUAAACCUCUUUCGACAGGGACGAAGCUUCGGUGACGGUACCUGUAUAAGAAGCACCGGCUAACUACGUG
rnacentral:rRNA from 1 species